UGGCUCAGUGGUAGAGUGCUUGCCUUGCAAGCAUGAGACCCUGGGUUCAAUUCUCAG
rnacentral:tRNA from 1 species